rnacentral:snRNA from 1 species
AUUGCUGCUCAGCCUUUUGGCUAAGAUCAAGUGUAGUAUCUGUUCUUAUCAGCUUAAUAUGUGAUACAUCCUCUAUCCAAGGACAUUACAUUAAAUGUAUUUUUGGAGCAGAGAUAUGGAACAGGAGCUUGCUCUGUCCACUCCACUCAUUAAGGUGGUAUUGCAGUACCUCUGGAAUGAUGCAAAAAAG